UGCCCUUGCCCAUUCUCGGGGCGUUUCCUCCCUAGACUUCAGGGCCGCGGGUUCUCCCGCGGCCCUUUUUCUUUGCCCGG
rnacentral:sRNA from 1 species